GUUGCGAUGAUGAGGUUAUUUUGAGGUGUUUGGGCAGUGGCGGUUUCUGAUCGCCGUGAGCCUUCAACCAUUAUACGACUUCUCCUUCCGCUGAGCACA
rnacentral:snoRNA from 1 species